rnacentral:lncRNA from 1 species
GAAAUAAUGAAUGCGAAGUAUGUAUGAAAUCAUGGAAAUGAAACAUGACAUGUAUACAAGCAAAUGAGCAUAGUUAGGCUUAUGAACUAUUCUGUGAAAUGGCUAUGAAUUCUUGCUGUUGAUUUGUACUUUAUAUGCUUUAAUAGUUAGACCAAUUGUAUUUGGCUUACUAAGCUCUUUGUAGCUUACUCUGUGUGAUUU